CUUCUAACCAUGCCUUUCCGGGCUCCCAGCCACUGAUUGGAUACUGAGCCUACGACUCUGUGUCACCAUUGGCUAGCUAUCGCGCUCAGGGGGCGGGGCGCUGGGAAAAGGCGCGGCUGGGUGGCUAGAAGAGGUGUCUGUCAGCGACUCAGCUCCGGAGAGAGUGAGACGGAGGGAGCGUGGGUUGUGGGACCUGCUCGGUGGAGACUGCUCUUUACAUUUCCGAUCGUGGCUGAUGUCCAGGCGGAUUGGGGGCGCUCUGUGUGUGAUCUUAGGCCGCAGCUAUUUCACCACCCCUACACAUGAAGUGCAUUGGACUGAGAGGGCUUCCCAGAUGGCUCAGAUGGUAAAAGUGUCUGCCAGCAAUGCAGGAGGCCCGGGUUGGAUCCUUGGGUCGGGAAGAUCCCCUGGAGAAGGAAUGGCAAUCCACUCCAGUAUUCUUGCCUGGAAAAUUCCAUGGACAGAGGAGCCUGCUUAUCAGGCCAAACACUGGGAGUCAUCCUUGAUUUCUCUUCGAACCUUACAGCAGAUCCUGAUGUCACUUCAGUCGUGUUCGACUCUGUGCAACCCCAGCACAGAGUCACUGGGCAGCCCACCAGGCUCCCCCGUCCCUGGGAUUCUCCAGGCAAGAACAGUGGAGUGGGUUGCCAUUUCCUUCUCCAUACAGCAGAUCCUACCAGCUCCAACUUCAAAAUAUGUACUUCUUGUUACCUUCAGCACUUAUAACCUGGUCCAAGCCAAUUUUAUCUGGUAGCUUAAUUACUGUGUCCUUACCUUUGACUUCCUGUAGUCCACUUUCAACACAGCAGCCAAAUGAAUAUUUUGGGGGGUGGAGUGGGGGUCUAUGCCUCACAGCUUCCAGCAGCUCGCAAUCUUAGUUCCCUGACCUGAGAUUGAACCUGGACCCUCGGCAGUGAAAAUCCUAACCAUUGCACCACCAGGGAAUUCCCCACCAAAUGAAUAUUUUAAACCCCAAGCUAGAUCAUGUCACUUCUCAACACUUGUCACUGGUGCUCCAUUUCACUGUCUUUAUAAUGGCUUACAAGCCCCUACUUUAUCUAGCCUUCUGCUGCUUCUAUAACCACAUUAUCCUACUACUUACCAUCUUCCUCAGUCAAUUCUGUAACUAGCCCCACUGGCCUCUUUGCUCUUUCUCAAACAUGCCAGUAUCUUCUCACCUCACAAACUUGGCAACCUAGAAUCAUCUUACUCACAAAUAUUCCCAUGGCUUGCUCUCUCACCUCUUUCAGGUCUUUGAUGAACUGUAAUUUCAACAAUCUUACACACACACACGAAAUCCCUCUCCUUCCCUGCUUUACAUUCUCCAAAGUACUUAUCAUCUAGCAUGUUUUGUCUCUUCUACAACUAGAAUGUAAGUUGUAUGAGG
ensembl:lncRNA